AGCUUUGCGCAGUGGCAGUAUCAUAGCCAAUGAGGUUUAUCCAAGGCGCGAUUAUUGCUAAUUAAAAAAAAAACACAACAGUAUUUUUGGUAGUCAGUAGCUAACUAGGAAUUUCAAUAUUUACUUGAUAGUC
rnacentral:snRNA from 1 species